AACUUGAGCAUUCAUCUGCUAUCGAGAAGCAUUAACGUGCGCAUCAAGCGCGUAGCCUCGCGCUAGCCACGUCGGCAGAACAAGCUGAGCGAGGUACUGUGCGGGCUGUUCGUUUUCACCGGGCCAUGUGUGCGUUAUGCCGAACAACCCAAGGGAAGAGACGAAAAGAAAUAAAUGGAUCGCCCAAUCGCAGCCCCAGCCCCGUUUCCCAUCCCACCCCUCGCGAGUCCUCCCCUUCUCCCUCUUCCUCGUCCGCCACUGCCGCCGCCGCCGACGACCUACCUCCACAGCUGCUGCUCCUCGUGCUCUAUAUGCUCCUCCACCGCAUGGACUCAUCGAUCCCAUCCUUCUGUGGUUGCCUGCAUCGGUUUUAGCCAUCUAGGGUUUCGGUGUGGUCGACCUACUCGUUGCCGGCGAUGCUCUGGUGCGUUGGUCCGUUCGUCUCCGUCUCCUGUCGUGCUCUCUCUUGGUGUUGUGCCUCCUGGAUGGCGCUCCUGUUCCUCGGAUGCACGCCCCUCUCUCCCGAGCUUGAUGAGAAGCAGCGGCGCCCCUUUCUCCUGAGCUUCAAAUCCAUCCCAACAGCUCAGGGUGGACACGGUCCGGGCCGGUCCGGUCCCUCACCGAGCUGCCAUUUGGACCGGCCGGCGGCGUCCGGACCGGACCGGACCGACCAGCCUCACGGUCCUGUUUCCAGGGACCGGACCGGCGGCGGCGAAGCUCGGGCCGGACCGAGUGGACCGACCAACCAUCACCGUCGGCGACUUGCGCGGGCGCAGAUGCGAGGUGGGCGACGUGCGCGGGUGAUGUGGCGAGGAGGCAGACGUGUGCGAGAGCCGGCGGCGAGAGGUAGACGACGUGUUGUUGGAAGUGAUGUUAGCCAUGAACGUGCGCAUGUUUAUCUCUUAGCAGUUUUCUCUAUUGCAUGCAAGCAGUCUAUCGCGUGCAUGCGCCCACGAUUAUUCAUGUCUGGCCUUGCCGUGGAUGAGUGGAUAAAAUUGGUCGUGGAGUUAAUUGUGGGAUGGCCCCAUAAUUAUCGGAUCGUAGUUGUUUCUCUCGUUAGUUGCGAAUAAAAGGAAACAAAGAUCGUGGAGUCAGUCGUGGGAUUGAUAGUUUGAUACAACCGUGCUAGCUAGGGUAACUACUUUUACGGAAGGAGCAAAUAAGGGAAGAAUCGAUCAAAGAAUCCUGGGCAGUUAAUCCCAUGUAGGUGUAGCAACGAAUUAUCGCGUGAUUGCCCCAUGAUUAUCGAAUCGCCCCUUUUCUCUCGGUCUUCUUCGGUCCGACCGAGCGGACCGGGCUUUAACCGGACCGGACCGAAGAAUUUUCGGUCCAUAUUUCAGGGACCGGACCGGCUAAUUUUCUGAGCGGGCCAGGACCGAGCUGGCAGGCCCGCUCGUGUCGUCCACCCUUACCAACAGCGCUAAGGUAACCAGCGGCAGAGGCUCCCACCUAGCACCUCUCUCCUCAUGCCCCCUCCUUCUCCUCCUAUGUGUUUUCGAUUUUUUCUGCGUGUGCUUGCACGUACAUGGAUCUAGAGGUAACAGAUUAUGUUUUCUAUGUAAUAUUUCAUAGUCUUAAACUUCAAGGAGUAGAUGUAAUGCUAUUGUAUUUUGCCUCCCUCCAUGUUAUCAGUACAGGUGCCAUCUUCUUAUCCCACCGCCGAGCUUCCGCUCAGGAGGCGCCGGAAGGGGGCACCCAGCAGGAGAAGAUCGCUGCACUUGAAGAGAUGAAGGUACGCCAAGGUGAGGAGCGUGUGCAGCUCAAGAUUUUAGUACAAGAUCUUGAAAGUUCCAGAAAGCAGUUGCCUCAAAGUUUCUACUAUUUAUAUCACAGGAUGGAACAAAUGGAGAAGUGAAAAAGAAAGCUUUGAGUUACACUUAAAUAACAUUUAUGCAGGGAUCCUAAUUUAGGCUCUGCUCCAAUCAACAAAUAGAGUGCAAUCCUUGAGUUCAUCCCGAUAUAGUGGCGGUCACAUAAGAUGGUGCAUGGAAAUGGACGAGCAGUCCAUAUUAUUCAGUUGGGUUUGACUGCAUCUCGUCUAACUAAUAGACGGACAAACACAACUGGAAGAAAAUAAUGGAAAGUACAGCCUGUGGCAAGAAAGUUUCAUCAGACAUUUUGAAAGGUACGAGCUGGGAGCAAUAUAGGUGAUCAGGGUGGUUUGGUGUGCGAAAAACUGUUGGACUUGAUAGUUAAUGAGCCUGUUGUUAUCAUGGAAGAAGGUUUUCCUAAUGCCACACAACAUGGAUAAUCAAUUAAAGAGAUGCGGACAUCAGAGUUGAGACACAUCCAAGGGUUCCUAUUAUGCCAACCCAAUUUUUGAUGUCCUUACUACUGAUGUUGUCCUUCUAAGUAGGUAGUUUCAAAUGAUGGGAAGAUGGUUAGGUGACGAGUGCCCUCUCUGAUGUGGAUGCUGAAGAAGUUCAGGUAUCGAUGUCUGUUAGCAUGAUUAACUGUGGAUGCAAUCUUGAAGACUGAUAUUAUCUGCGAUUGCCGCUUCAUGCUAGGAACUGACGAGGGCAACCAUCACCACCAAUUAGUCAGAGUUUCGCCACCACGCAAACAUCCGUGAAGGAGACAUCUCCCAUCGCAAGGCGCCUCCUCACCCUCACCGUACAUCGGCUCUAGACACACCAUGGACGUAUGAAUAUAAUCUAUUUUUGUGCGAACUUCUUAAGUAUAAUUUAUGACGUGUUGAACCUUGCCUCUGCUUUUGUACCUUGCAAUUUGUUGCUUUUGGAGGCUAGCAUAUAUGCUGUCGUGCAUGUAACCUCUAAAAUUGCUACUCAUCAGGUCUAA